rnacentral:rRNA from 1 species
AUGUGCUUUCUUGGUAUCCUAAAUAUAAGAUUAAUACUUCAAGUUGCUGAGUUGAGAAAGAGAUGGUUGAAUCAAAAGAAUUCCUUUUUUGAAGUUCAAUUUUUAUCAGAGGACAAUAUGAAUAUUAUACCUUGUUCCAUUAAAACACUCAAGGGGUUAUAUGAUAUAUCGGGUGUAGAAGUAGGCCAACACUUCUAUUGGCAAAUAGGAGGUUUCCAAAUUCAUGCCCAAGUACUCAUCACUUCUUGGGUCGUAAUUACUAUCUUGCUAGGUUCAGUUGUCAUAGCUGUUCGGAAUCCACAAACCAUCCCGACCGAUGGUCAGAAUUUUUUUGAAUAUGUCCUUGAGUUUAUUCGAGACUUGAGCAAAACUCAGAUUGGAGAAGAAUAUGGUCCCUGGGUUCCCUUUAUUGGAACUAUGUUCCUUUUUAUUUUUGUUUCGAAUUGGUCGGGUGCUCUUUUACCUUGGAAAAUUAUAGAGUUACCCCAUGGGGAAUUAGCAGCGCCCACGAAUGAUAUAAAUACUACUGUUGCUUUAGCUUUACUCACGUCAGUGGCAUAUUUUUAUGCUGGUCUUAGCAAAAAAGGAUUGAGCUAUUUCGAGAAAUAUAUUAAACCAACUCCAAUCCUUUUACCAAUUAACAUCCUAGAAGAUUUCACAAAACCAUUAUCGCUUAGCUUUUGA